AUGGACAUGUACAAUACAUGGUCGAUGCCAUGAAGAAAGUAGCAAUGUUGGAUAUUGAAUUGACGGUUGAGGAGAGAAAUAUAGUUGCAAAUGUUCCUUUUUGGAGAUAUACAAUGAGCAGAUCACAGAUCUUCUAGAACCUUCAUCCACUAAUCUCCAACUUAGAGAAGGUUUAAAGGAAGGAGUGUACGUUGAAAAUCUUACAGAGUAUAAU
rnacentral:lncRNA from 1 species